AGCGAUUGCCUAUUUUUGACAUGCAAUAAGUGUGCAUGUGUUGUGCGUGUGUGUUAGUGAGCAACAUAUAUAUUUAUGGCGACAACGAAAAUAAUAAAUAAAUAAAUGCAUAUAUUAAUAUAUAUGCAUGUGCAUUGGUGUGUGUGCUGAUAGAUGAUGCACAAAGAUGACAAAUUAAUAUAUAUAAUACACGUUUGCACGCAAAUUACCAGCAGCUGGCAACAACAACAACAAAACGCACAGUGCACAGUGCAGCAACAACAAAAGCGCCAGACCAAAAUAGGCAGAGCAGCAAAAACAAAUUUAGAAAUUACCCACGGCGAAGACGGAGCGUAUAAAAACCGCGGCUAACGGUAAACAACGGCCAGCUGCGCAACAACAACGACAACAAAGGGAAAGAGAGAGAGAGAGACAACAACGAAAAACGCCAAACAGGAAAUAAUAAAUAAUUGAAUAUUCAAAGUACGUGCAACAAAAACGACAGCGACAAUAAAAAGAUACUAAAUUAGUACUGCGAAUUGGUGAUACUGAAAAA